rnacentral:rRNA from 1 species
AGUGAACGCUGGCGGUGUGCCUAACACAUGCAAGUCGAGCGGCAGCACAGUAAGCUCUUGCCCUUACCGGUGGCGACUGGCGGGCGGGUGACGCAUAGAUCGGCAUCUACUUUUUCUUGGGGGAUUUCGUGGGACCGCUGCCGCUACUGCCGCAUACGACCUACGGGUGAGAGCAGUGGAUCUUCGGGGCUUUGCCGUCUCAUUGAGCCGGUGCCGGAUUAGCUAGUUGGCGAGGUAAAGGCCCACCAAGGCGACGAUGCGUAGCUGGGCUGAGAGGAUGAUCAGCCACACUGGAACUGAGACACGGUCCAGACUCCUACGGGAGGCAGCAGUGGGGAAUAUUGGACAAUGGGCGAAAGCCUGACGGAGCCAUGCCGCGUGGGUGAAGAAGGCCUUCGGGUCGUAAAGCCCUGUUGUUGGGAAAGAAAAGCAGCAGGAUAAUACACGGCUGUUUUGACGGUACCCAAAGAAAAAGCAACGGCUAACUUCGUG